rnacentral:rRNA from 1 species
UACGUAGGCGGAAAAUUAAGUCAGUAGUGAAAUCCUGCAGCUUAACUGUAGAACUGUUAUUGAUACUGGUUUUCUUGAAUUUAGUUGAGGUAGGCGGAAUGUGUAAUGUAGCGGUGAAAUGCUUAGAUAUUACACAGAACACCGAUUGCGAAGGCAGCUUACUAAGCUAUGAUUGACGCUGAGGUACGAAAGCGUGGGGAGCGAACAGGAUUAGAUACCCUGGUAGUCC